rnacentral:rRNA from 1 species
AUCCUGGCUCAGGAUGAACGCUAGCGGCAGGCUUAAUACAUGCAAGUCGAACGGUAACAGGCGGUAGCAAUACUGCGCUGACGAGUGGCGCACGGGUGCGUAACACGUAUGCAACUUACCCUUUACUGGGGCAUAACCUGUUGAAAGACGGGCUAAUUCCCCAUAGUAUUAUUAAAAGGCAUCUUUUGAUACUUAAAGAUUUAUCGGUAAAGGAUGGGCAUGCGCCCCAUUAGUUAGUUGGUAAGGUAACGGCUUACCAAGACUUUGAUGGGUAGGGGUUCUGAGAGGAUUAUCCCCCACACUGGUACUGAGACACGGACCAGACUCCUACGGGAGGCAGCAGUAAGGAAUAUUGGGCAAUGGGCGAGAGCCUGACCCAGCCAUGCCGCGUGCAGGAAGACGGCCUUAUGGGUUGUAAACUGCUUUUUUAUGGGAAUAACCACUCUUACGUGUAAGGGUCUGCAAGUACCAUAAGAAUAAGCAUCGGCUAACUCCGUGCCAGCAGCCGCGGUAAUACGGAGGAUGCAAGCGUUAUCCGGAAUUAUUGGGUUUAAAGGGUGCGUAGGCGGACUAGUAAGUCAGUGGUGAAAUUCUCGGGCUUAACCUGAGACCUGCCAUUGAUACUGUUGGUCUUGAGUGUAGUUGAUGUUGGCGGAAUGUGUCAUGUAGCGGUGAAAUGCAUAGAUAUGACACAGAACACCGAUAGCGAAGGCAGCUGACAAAACUAUAACUGACGCUGAGGCACGAAAGC